UGGACUGGAGACGGUCAGAAACAUCGCUUUGGGGUGAAUGGGAUAAGCGUCUGGAAACCGUGCCCAGAAGACAUGGAUCUGCAUAAAGCCGAAGAAGAAGACCUAAAAGGAGUGGGGAAGCCUAAAGGGAGAUCUGGCCACUGGGUAAGGGGAGACGCCGGAGUAGCCUGGACCCCUCGCAGCACCUGGUGUAGCUCUGCGAACAGAAACGAAUUGUGUGGAAACCCCUGCAGCUCGGCGGCGGGAACCCCAGGCCCUCCCGUGCGAGGAGCAGGGCGCUUGGCAUGGUCUCUUCAGCACCCAGCAGCUUCGGCCCGGUGGCUGAUUGGAUAAGGACUGCACAGAAAAGACACUCCAAUCUCUGGUUUUCCCAGCUGCACACAUUCCUUACAGGAGAUGUACACUUCUGUGAAAUACAAGAUCAUGAUAUUUAUUGACUAUCUUCUAUUGUGCCAGCCACAUUCUAAGAUUUAGAAGAGCUGGCAAAUCCUUCUGAGAUGCCUGCUCAGUCCAGGAGUUUGAGGUUAAGAAGAGAAUUACAGACAUUUGGAUCUCAGGAAACAAAACAUGAAGAAUAUGCAGAACUAUCCAGUGUCAACUCUGGACAAAGCUUCCUUUCAAAGAAGUGAACAUAAAGACUUCUCCUUGAAGGUGUGUUGGUAGAUGAUGAAAACGGCAGACAAGGGCUUGGAUGAUGCUGGAAGUUGGAAACAAGCAACAGAACUAAUGAAAGGUUCGUGGAAAGCUUUAUUCAUCAAUGAGCCAGUAGUAAACCUAAAACAAGCAGCAUCAUUCAAGUGGUGAACUUUGGAGAAUUGAAACACCGCAUAAGACUUUAAAGCAGGACACACCCUCAUUGACUCAAAUUUGGCAUAAAACCAUG